rfam:Nestor notabilis contig62310, whole genome shotgun sequence.
GCUGGCAUAAUGAUGAAAUCUUUGCCGUUUACCCAUCUGAAUUUUUCCUGAUGUGUAUCUUUGACUCUGACAUGCCAGU